rnacentral:lncRNA from 1 species
GUAGAGUGUUGUGGGGGGGUGGAGGGAGCGGUGUGUGUGUGUGAGUUACAGGGUGGUGGUAGAGUGUUGUGGGGGGUGGAGGGAGCGGUGUGUGUGUGUGAGUUACAGGGUGGUGGUAGAGUGUUGUGGGGGGUGGAGGGAGUGGUGUGUGUGUGAGUUACAGGGUGGUGGUAGAGUUUUGUGGGGGGUGGAGGGAGCGGUGUGUGUGUGAGUUACAGGGUGGUGGUAGAGUGUUGUGGGGGGGUGGCGGGAGUGGUGUGUGUGUGAGUUACAGGGUGGUGGUAGAGUGUUGUGGGGGGUGGAG